GAAAGAACCAUAUAGAGCUAACAUAAAUGGAUAAAAGUUGAGGAGUACCCCUCGGUUAUACAAUACGUAUAAUGAAAUCUUCCGAUAAGACAAUCGCUUCAAGAGAGGUGUUAGUGUAAUAUAUUGUUAUUCUACAGUACCAAAGGCACUACACCUUAUUAAUAUUGAUUAUUGUGGCACAAAAGAUAAUUUUAUUUUAUAUAUAUAUUCUUUUUAAAUUUAAGAGAAGCAAUCAAAGAAGAAAAGAGAGGAGGAGGAGUGGAGAAGGGGCCAUGUGGGAUCUAGUCUCAUGGCUUCUUUCCUUCUUCUGUCUCGUUGCCCUUCUCGCCGCUGUUCUUUACCAGGUCAUGUGCUUGGCAGACCUUGAAAGUGAUUAUGUCAACCCUUAUGAUUCAGCAGCCGAGAUUAACAUAAUUGUGGUUCCAGAAUUUGUUCUUCAAGGAGCACUAUGUUUCCUGCAUCUUGUGAUGGGGCAUUGGUUAAUGUGUCUGGCCUGUCUCCCAUACUUAUAUUAUGAUGUCAAAGUAUAUACUGGUCGUCGCCACUUGCUAGAUGUAACUGAGAUUUUCAACCAGCUACCAUGGGAAAAGAAGAUUCGGUUAUAUAAGCUUGGAUACCUUGGGAUACUUCUUGUAUUUUCUAUAAUCUGUAUGAUCUGGAGCAUUGUAGCGGAAUGAAGAAUGAGGAAUUGCUGAUCUCACCAAGGUUCCCCAGUUUCUCUCUCUGUUGUAUGACACUUGCAUAAGAAAAAGAUGGAGGGUGUUAACUUGGUUCUAUGAAUUGAUGGAAAGUGAGAUGCUUUGUGUGGGUUUUCUCAGUAAUGAUGCCAUUUUUGCUGAGAAUGAUGUUAAUCCUCUUUAAGGAAAGGAUUGGUUGUCCUCAACUAGGGAAAACAUAUUGACAGUAGAUUUUUAAGAUACUAUUAUUGAUACUAGAUAUACUGUCAAUUACCAUCUUCAUUCGCUGCCACUAUUA